UACGAAAGGUGCAAGCGUUACUCGGAAUCACUGGGCGUAAAGCGCACGUAGGCGGACUCGUAGGUCAAUUGUGAAAUACCUGGGCUCAACCCGGGAACUGCAGUUGAAACCGCUUGUCUUGAAUACCUGAGAGGGUGGGGGAAUACCUGGUGGAGAAGUGAAAUUCGUAGAGAUCAGGUGGAACACCGGAGGCGAAGGCGCCUGCCUGGCAGUGUAUUGACGCUGAGGCGCGAAAGCGUGGGGAGCGAACAGG
rnacentral:rRNA from 1 species